rnacentral:rRNA from 1 species
CCUGGUGGUCAUGGCGAGGGUCCUACACCCGAUCCCAUCCCGAACUCGGUCGUGAAACCCCUCAGCGCCGAUGGUACUGCGUCUUAAGGCGUGGGAGAGUAGGUCGCUGCCAGGC